AAUUAUAGUAAAUGGCACAGGCUCCCCAAACUUAUUUAGCACAUAGUCUUUCUGAGAUAUUCCAAAUCAUAUCUGUCAUAAAUUUUCCCUGUUUAACAGGACCAGAGCACAUGCCACCACAUAUAGAAAGACAAAGUCCCUAUUCAGAUGAGCCACUGCAGGUUCUAUACAAGUCCCGAUUAAAAGCUAAACACAAAAAUGGGGAAAAAAUUGUUGUAUUACUCUUUGGGUCAGUGGAACACCCACAAAAAUUUGUCUUAUUUAAAUUAAUUGGGAUUAUAAGUACUUCAAGGGAAUGAUAAAUUUUAUGCAUAAGGAACAGAAGCAGUAUGUGUGAGAGAGAUCUUGGUUUUCAUAUUCUGCCACAAGUCACCACCCAUUCUUCAUACCAGGUUUAUGGCUGUAUCUUUUCUGCUUGUCUACACCCUAUUUCAUCUCACAUAAAAGACUGCUUUGGUUCUGACAAGUCAUUUAAAGGGUUCCUAAGGCAAGUUAAACUGAAAUUGGGAGUGACUUGGGAGAUACUGAAUUUUUAAAAAAGUAUUUAUAGAUGUAGUUGGACACAACGCCUUUGUUUUAUUUAUUUAUUGUUAUGUGGUGGUAAGGUUUGAACCCAGUGCCUCACUGGGCAAGCACUCUACCACUGAUCUACAAACUCAGCCCAUUUUACUGCAUUUUAAAAUAAUUUUCAAUUUACAGGUAAGAAAUGUAACAGGUUCAAGGGAAGUUUCAAUACAUGUAUUAUUAUAUAAUACAAUUAGUAAUUCACAAAACUUUUCCCUCAAAUAUUUUGCAUCAUUAUGGGGAAAACAUUGAGUAUUUCUUCUCAUCUUUGAAUGCACUACACAUUAAUAUAGUCACCCAACUGUGCAAUUGGACCAUACAAACCCAGAACUUAUUUUUUCCAUGAAAUUGUUUAUGAACCCAUCUUUUGUUUUCAACCCAUAACCAGAGUGGGACCCAUGAAUCAAGUUCAUACAUUUUAUACAAAAGAUCAGUCACUGCAGAUGGCUUCCUCUUUCUUCCAUUGGCAUGUGUUCCUCUCCUAGGCACCAUGGCAUAAGUGCCCAUUCAUCAGCAAGUCACCACAGUAUGGUUGACAUGGGAAGUUCACAUUCCUUUUUAAAAAUUGAGAUGCAUGUGGUGUGUUUCAUUUACUUGCCCCACUAUAAUUGUGUAGUAUAACAUGAGCCACUAACUUCCUAAAACACACACACUCACUAGCACAUUAUAUUUACAUCUCCCCUUAAUUUUCCUUGUUUUCAUGAAGGAGAUUCAGUUUCCCAAAUGAACCAGAAAAUAACUGUUUCAAUAUGGUAAGUUUUGAGCCCAGUUAUCUGUGAGAAUCUUAUAAUCAUUCACCUUGAAUAGAAAAGGGAGACUGCUAAACAGGUGGGACAGG
rnacentral:lncRNA from 1 species